rnacentral:rRNA from 1 species
GCAUAUCAAUAAGCGGAGGAAAAGAAACCAACAGGGAUUGUCUUAGUAACGGCGAGUGAAGCGACAAAAGCUCAAAUUUGAAAUCUGGCACCUUCGGUGUCCGAGUUGUAAUUUGAAGAAGGUAACUUUGGAGUUGGCUCUUGUCUAUGUUCCUUGGAACAGGACGUCACAGAGGGUGAGAAUCCCGUGCGAUGAGAUGUCCAACUCUAUGUAAAGUGCUUUCGAAGAGUCGAGUUGUUUGGGAAUGCAGCUCUAAGUGGGUGGUAAAUUCCAUCUAAAGCUAAAUAUUGGCGAGAGACCGAUAGCGAACAAGUACAGUGAUGGAAAGAUGAAAAGAACUUUGAAAAGAGAGUGAAAAAGUACGUGAAAUUGUUGAAAGGGAAGGGUUUGAGAUCAGACUUGGUAUUUUGUAUGUCUUGCUUUCGGGUGGGGCCUCUGCAGUUUACUGGGCCAGCAUCGGUUUGGACGGUAGGAUAAUGACAUUGGAAUGUGGCACUACUUCGGUGGUGUGUUAUAGACUUUGUUGAUACUACCUGUCUAGACCGAGGACUGCGUCUUUGACUAGGAUGCUGGCAUAAUGAUCCUAAACCGCCCGUCUUG